rnacentral:tRNA from 1 species
GCAUUGGUAGUUCAGUGGUAGAAUUCUCACCUUCCAUGCAGGAGAUCUGGGUUCGAUUCCUGGCCGAUGCA